GGUGGCUCAGAGGUAGAGUGUUUGCCUUGCAUGCAAGAGGCCCUGGGUUCAAUUCCUCAGCACCA
rfam:Dipodomys ordii contig_62434, whole genome shotgun sequence.